GCACCCAAAUUUCUACAGAUCCAUCUUGUUUCCCAGAAAAUUAAAAAACCCAGCUCUCUCCCCCGUAACCUCCGAUUAGGGCUGCUCAUGGGUUGUCCAACCCGUUCAAACCAACCCAACCCAACCUUGAACUAGGCCGACUAACCCGACCCAUUCCAAACCGUGGGUUAAUUGGGUUGAUUUUUGGUUGAGCCGUUUAUAAUGGGUUGGGUCGAAAUAUGACUUUUAAAAACCCUAAACCAACCCAACCCGGUCAAAAUAUAUCUUUAACACUCUGAUAAAUAUUUUUGGUUGCUUACGGAACUAUAUUUACUUAUUUGAUGAUAAGAUGUGCAGUGAGUGUAGUGCAGUGUGCAGAAACAAUUAGAAAUAAAGCUUUAUAAUUCAAAUCAAACGACUCACAUUGCUAGUUCUUAUGAUUAUAUAUCAUGGCGGAAACAUGAUUUUUAAUAGUUAUUAGUGUAUUAAGAUUCAGCUGUCCACCUCAGUAUGAAGAGAAUAUCUGCACUCUAAAAGCACCUGAUAUUUUGUAUCGGUGCAGUGUCCUAUGUUAUUGCUAAUUGAAUACAACAAAAUGGUGCAAAACAUAUUUUGGAUUAUGCUUAUCUUGCAAAAUUUUCAACCCGAUCAACCCUACCCUAACCAACCCAACCCGUCAUACAAUUAGUAAGGUUGGGUUUCUAAUUCUUUUUAUGAUUAAUGGGUUAAAUUUUUCUAACCCGUACUAAAUGGGUUGGGUCGCUUGAAUGGCCGAAACCAACCCAACCCAGCCCAUGUGCAGCCCUACCUCCGAUCGAACACCCCAAAACCCACCACCACCACCACCCUCACAAUCUCUCCUCUCUCACAUUACACACACCUAUACAUACAACCUAUACACACAAACUCACCGAAAUGGAGGUAGUCGACGCGCCAAUAGACGAUAAAGCCA
rnacentral:lncRNA from 1 species